AUGAUCUCUACAUCCCUACUGCUGCUGCUGCUUGCAGCCGUACACUGUGUUCACUGUGUUGAGCUGACCCAGCCUGCAUCCUCAGUAGUAACCCCUGGUCAGUCACUGACUCUGACCUGUAAACUGUCUGGAUAUUCAGUAACUGAUACCAGCUACUGUACAGCCUGGAUACGACAACCUGCAGGAAAAACUCUAGAGUACAUUGGAGAGAUAUGUGGUGAUGGUAACACUUACUACAGUGAGAAACUGAAAAGCAGGGUUCAGGUUUCCAGAGACACGUCCAGCAACACAGUAACAUUAACAGGACAGAACAUGCAGACUGAAGACACAGCUGUGUAUUACUGCGCCCGGGAACCCACAGUGAGACAGAUCAACAACAUCCCUUCAGCCUCUGUGAUUGUGAAACCUGGAAUCGUUCUCCAUCCCUUGUGUCGAGCUAUUGUAUACACUGAAUACGACAACCUGCUGGGAAAGCACGGGAAUGGCUCGGAUAUCUGUGUAAUAAUAAACACUUGCUCUCGAGCAGCGGCGGAUGAAGAGCAAGCGCGCUGUCCCCGCCCGCGAGCAGAGGUGCUGCUUGAUCUCCUCCAGGGCAUUGAGAAUGGAUUCGAUACGACCAGUGCGACCUGUGCCCGCAUAAUGAAUAACUCCGAUGUGACACCCAAGUAUGUUGUCCUCUGA